UCAAUGUCUUUCUAGCUUUAACUGAUAGAAUAUUCCUGCAGAUGCCAAACGAACUGAACGCGUCUCGAAGAAGUUGUGGCGAUAUUUAAACAAAACUUCAGUACUUCAAACGUCGAUGUUUACGCCCAUGUAAGAUGGAUCCCAUGCAGGUGGUAAGUAAAAUUUAAUGUUGUUAGAAAUUUGAAUGUUGUUUUGACAAGACACUUAUGUAUACUCAAUAACCAAAUUCGACAAUUCCACGCGUAUUUGCAUUGCGCGUAUUGCUGUAUUUUUAGGUCUAAAGGCCCACACAGACCGGACGCGAUUUGGAAACGCGACGCGAAUUUUCAAUGACAUUUAACUUCACUAUUUUUCUAUGUUUUUCAAACAUUCGGAACCACUUAAUUAAGCAAUUUUAGCUAU